rnacentral:rRNA from 1 species
UACAGAGGGUGCGAGCGUUAAUCGGAAUUAUUGGGCGUAAAGCGUGCGUAGGCGGGCACUUAAGUCUUGUGUGAAAUCCCCGGGCUCAACCUGGGAACUGCAUCAGAUACUGGGUGUCUAGAGUAUAGCAGAGGAAAGUGGAAUUCCCGGUGUAGCGGUGAAAUGCAUAGAUAUCGGGAGGAACAUCAGUGGCGAAGGCGGCUUUCUGGGCUGAUACUGACGCUGAGGCACGAAAGCGUGGGGAGCAAACAGG